rnacentral:rRNA from 1 species
AGCGGACAGAUGGGAGCUUGCUCCCUGAUGUUAGCGGCGGACGGGUGAGUAACACGUGGGUAACCUGCCUGUAAGACUGGGAUAACUCCGGGAAACCGGGGCUAAUACCGGAUGGUUGUUUGAACCGCAUGGUUCAAACAUAAAAGGUGGCUUCGGCUACCACUUACAGAUGGACCCGCGGCGCAUUAGCUAGUUGGUGAGGUAACGGCUCACCAAGGCAACGAUGCGUAGCCGACCUGAGAGGGUGAUCGGCCACACUGGGACUGAGACACGGCCCAGACUCCUACGGGAGGCAGCAGUAGGGAAUCUUCCGCAAUGGACGAAAGUCUGACGGAGCAACGCCGCGUGAGUGAUGAAGGUUUUCGGAUCGUAAAGCUCUGUUGUUAGGGAAGAACAAGUACCGUUCGAAUAGGGCGGUACCUUGACGGUACCUAACCAGAAAGCCACGGCUAACUACGUGCCAGCAGCCGCGGUAAUACGUAGGUGGCAAGCGUUGUCCGGAAUUAUUGGGCGUAAAGGGCUCGCAGGCGGUUUCUUAAAGUCUGAUGUGAAAGCCCCCGGCUCAAACCGGG